GUGGGCAUCUUACCGGACAGUGCUGGAUUUCUCCACUCAGCUCUAACACUGUCUGGUAACGAUGUUCAC
rnacentral:pre_miRNA from 1 species